CCUACGGGCGGCAGCAGUGGGGAAUAUUGGACAAUGGGCGAAAGCCUGAUCCAGCCAUGCCGCGUGUGUGAAGAAGGCCUUCGGGUUGUAAAGCACUUUCAGUGGGGAAGAAAGCCUUGGGGCUAAUACCCUCGAGGAAGGACAUCACCCACAGAAGAAGCACCGGCUAACUCCGUGCCAGCAGCCGCGGUAAUACGGAGGGUGCGAGCGUUAAUCGGAAUUACUGGGCGUAAAGCGCGCGUAGGGGGUCUGAUAAGCCGGUUGUGAAAGCCCCGGGCUCAACCUGGGAACGGCAUCCGGAGCUGUCAGGCUAGAGUGCAGAAGAGGAAGGUGAAAUUCCCGGGGUAGCGGUGAAAGGCGUGGAGAUGGGGAGGAAACCCGGUGGCGAAGGCGGCCUUCUGGACUGACACUGACCGUGAGGUGCGAAGCCGGGGGUAGCAAGCGGGAUUAGAAACCCUGUAGUC
rnacentral:rRNA from 1 species